AAAUCAAAAAAGGUCUCAAAAAUCCUCAAGCAAAACAAAACAAGGUUCAGUGUCCAUCAUCUCAAGAAUCAAAGGGUCACCAACAUCCAUGAAGAGCAAAAAACGAUGACUGCCAUUUCAAGAGAUUUAUUAAAUUAUCUUAAGAGUUAAAUGUGUGUGUUGAAGUAAAUGAACGUAGGAUUGGAGAUCAUCAUGAAAAAGGGGUGGGUUAAAACAA
rnacentral:lncRNA from 1 species